rnacentral:rRNA from 1 species
GACGAACGCUGGCGGCGUGCCUAAUACAUGCAAGUCGAACGAACGGAUUGAGGAGCUUGCUCUUCAUGAAGUUAGUGGCGGACGGGUGAGUAACACGUGGGUAACCUGCCCUUCAGUGGGGGAUAACAUCCGGAAACGGGUGCUAAUACCGCAUAGUUUCUUUUGAAAGGUGCAACUGCAUCACUAUGAGAUGGACCUGCGUUGUAUUAGCUAGUUGGUGAGGUAACGGCUCACCAAGGCGACGAUACAUAGCCGACCUGAGAGGGUGAACGGCCACACUGGGACUGAGACACGGCCCAG